UACGGAGGGUGCAAACGUUGCUCGGAAUCAUUGGGCGUAAAGCGCACGUAGGCGGUUCGUUAAGUCGGGUGUGAAAGCCCUGGGCUCAACCCAGGAAGUGCAUCCGAAACUGGCGAGCUGGAGUAUGGAAGAGGGUCGCGGAAUUCCCGGUGUAGAGGUGAAAUUCGUAGAUAUCGGGAGGAACACAAGUGGCGAAGGCGGCGACCUGGGCCAAUACUGACGCUGAGGUGCGAAAGCGUGGGGAGCAAACAGG
rnacentral:rRNA from 1 species